UAAAUUUUAAUAACAGUGAAUUUACUUUGGUGUUACCAUAAAAUAAAUAUAAAUGUUGUUUAUGUUGUGAUGACUACAUAAAUAACAGUUUUGAAUCCUAACAUUGGGAAAUUUAUUGUUUGUUUUGUAAGCCAAUUUAUUAAUAUACAGUCAAACAACUGCUAUUUAUAAAGAUGAGUAAAGUGCGAUUGGUCAUCCUGCAAAUUAAUUUCUGUGAAAAUCCCUGAAUGUCAAAAGCAACAUUUUACUUUAUGUGUAUAACAGUAUAAUCAAUCUUUCAAACACAUACUACUUCAAAAUAAGAUACACAGUAAUGAUUAAUCAUCCAUGGGUAUUAGGAGCAAUGCUAGUUGUUGCUGUUGGGACAGCUUUAUUCACUUUAUGGCACAACAAUGAGAAUACCAAUAGAAAUUAUUCAUAUGACAGAAAUUAUAGCCAUAAUGUCGACGAAGAUGAUUCUUUUUCAUCCUUAGGAAUAGAUUUUGAUGAUACAGAGAGACGUAAAAGGGGGUUAAAUGAACAAUGUACAAUAUGUUUGUGCCGUAUUAAAGAGGGAUAUCGCGUUUUGAGUUGUGGGCACAAGUUUCAUAAGAUGUGUAUUACUUCCUGGUUGAACAACAAAAGAUCUUGUCCAGUUUGUAGAGCUGAUGUUUUUUAACUUAUAUUGAAUUUUAUAAAUAAUGGAGCUGAAGAAUCUAAGUGGCGGCUGUUAUUAAAAAUUAGCACUUGUAAUUGAUAUUUUAUUGGUUUAAUUUUUAAAUAAAUUCCCUGUUUUAGAGGGAUAACAUGUGAUCAUUGUUAAUUAAUAUAGAUUUAGGUUGCUCAUUAGAUUAUUUUGACCAAAUAAUAUUGAUAAGCAAUAAAAGUUUUAGGAAGAAAUUUUGUAAAUACCCUAAAAUAUAGAAAAUAUAUUGUAAACUUAGUUUUAUUUCAUACUGUUGUAUCCUACAAAUGAUAUAAUUUUUUUUUAGUAUUUUUUUUAACCAUAUAAAUAAAUAAUUACUUGUGUUAUCGUUUAUCGUUAGUCUCUACUAGUAAAAUUGUGUGGCUUAAAGUAUAUAUAAUUUAGUAUAAUGUAGGAAUGUUAGGAAUGUUUAGGAAUUAAAUAUUUAUUAAUAAAUCCAAUUUAAAGGUUUAAAAAAUGGAAUUUAUAAAGGCAGGAUAAAUUUAAUGAAAUGAAGCGUAGAAAAGCAACAUAACCUCAAAAAUAUAAAAACAAAACAAAAGAUGGUUUCCGUGUUUUAACACCAUUGACAGCAGAUGUUACAAAUUAGUUAGUUGUCGCUUCUCAAAGGUUAUUUAUAUUAACAAUACUCAAGAAUAUAAUAGUGAAAGGAAUUCGCAUAAAUUUUUUUUCAGUGCGGAAAUCCCCUAAUUCCAUAAAUCAACCAAAAUAGAAUACUUUUGAUAUCAUAAACUAGUUAUCAUCUGUUAUCUUCGCAAAUUACGACUUCAAUAUCACUGUUCUAGUGUGUAAAAGGAUAGACCUGGAACAAUAUGUCUGGAAAUAACGGAAAUUCAAACAAGCAGAGCUAUGUUGGAUCAUUCUUUUUGGGAGCUGCAACUGCUACAGCAAUAGGAACAGCAGUAUAUGCAUGGAUGACAAGCAAAAAUACAGAACAGCCACUUGCUGCUAAUAGUACAUAUCGAUCUAAUGCCCAUGACAGCAAAGAAAAAGAGAAGAAGAAAGUAGAAGAAUGCUGUAUAUGCUUCAAUCCUUUAGGAGAAGAAAUGUACACUUUGAAUUGUGGUCACAAUUAUCAUAUUAAGUGCAUUAAAUUGUGGUUGGAUAGCAAAAGAGAUUGUCCAAUUUGUAGAUCAGGAGUAUUGUAACUUUUCAAAAAUACAAUUUUAAUUAUUUAAGAUAGAUAGAUGAUAAAUUGCAAAUGACUGUUACCUGUAUCUUUAUAUAUUUUAAUGUACUAAAUUUUAAACUGUACAAUACAAAUUUAUAGUAACAGAUUUAUAAUACAAUAAAAUUUAUUAAAAGUUU